rnacentral:rRNA from 1 species
GUGUCAGCAGCCGCGGUAAUACGUAGGGUGCAAGCGUUAAUCGGAAUUACUGGGCGUAAAGCGUGCGCAGGCGGUUUUGUAAGUCAGAUGUGAAAUCCCCGAGCUCAACUUGGGAACUGCGUUUGAAACUACAAGACUAGAAUAUGUCAGAGGGGGGUAGAAUUCCACGUGUAGCAGUGAAAUGCGUAGAGAUGUGGAGGAAUACCAAUGGCGAAGGCAGCCCCCUGGGAUAAUAUUGACGCUCAUGCACGAAAGCGUGGGGAGCAAACAGGAUUAGAAACCCUCGUAGUCC